UUGUGAUGUCUAACUUGAUUGAUGAAUUUGCCUUGCCAAAUGAAUUCCAAUUGUUCUGAUUUUUUGUAUGAUGCUUGAUAUGGAUUUUGUGGAUGCUCAUGAUUUUUUGUGGAACUUUUGGAACCAUUUCUGAUUUGAUUGAGAUUUUUCUUUUUGGAUUGCCAUGUAUGAGCUUUUGAAUAGUAUUGAUUUUCAUUUGUUUGUGAAAUGAUGGUUGUUUAUCCUAUGAAUGUGAAAUUUUUCACAUUGUUUCUAGACAUGUUGAAGUUUGUUUUGGCUUUGGUUUGAGGCUUUUACCUUUUACCAUUUCUG
rnacentral:lncRNA from 1 species